AACGUAGGACACAAGCGUUAUCCGGAGUUACUGGGCGUAAAGGGCGUGUAGGCGGACUUGUAAGUCUAUUCUGAAAGCCCCCGGCUCAACUGGGGAGGGUCAUUCGAUACUGAUCGACUCGAAGGCAGGAGAGGGUAGUGGAAUUCCCGGUGUAGUGGUGAAAUGCGUAGAUAUCGGGAGGAACACCAGUGGCGAAGGCGACUACCUGGCCUGUUCUUGACGCUGAGGCGCGAAAGCUAGGGGAGCAAACGGG
rnacentral:rRNA from 1 species